rnacentral:lncRNA from 1 species
UAAAAUGCAUAGGUCUUCAAGUAUCUCAAGAGCGUCCAGUGAGUUCCUGGUUGACGUUACAGUCACAUCUUUAGCUUUCCCACCUCUUAAGAUGGCAGAUUCAUCACAUGACCUGCCAAUUCAUCAUCACUCUGCAGUGUCCGAUGUUACGAAGAAGGAAAUGACACUCCUUGUCCAUGGUAAGCCACCUGCACAAAAAGCCAUUCAUCUCAUACCUCUUGUCCUCAUCUUUUGUGGUUUUAUUCUUUGGAUUUUCUCUCAUCAGUGACGACAUGUACUGAAAGGGUGGGGGAAAAAGAGAAUUGUGAACAAGUUCAAUUCUAGCUCUUAUUUCUUAAUUAAUUCUUAUGUUUUCCAUUGACAAAAAGUUGUUUAUGGAUAAGAUCGAUCACGCUCAUGUAUGCCACGUAUAUUUUAUACUCAAGGAAGGAAAUUUUCAUUUGUUUUUCAUCAAGAUUA